rnacentral:rRNA from 1 species
AUUGAACGCUGGCGGCAUGCUUUACACAUGCAAGUCGAACGGUAACAGGCCGCAAGGUGCUGACGAGUGGCGAACGGGUGAGUAAUGCAUCGGAACGUGCCCAGUCGUGGGGGAUAACUACUCGAAAGAGUAGCUAAUACCGCAUACGAUCUAUGGAUGAAAGCGGGGGACCGUAAGGCCUCGCGCGAUUGGAGCGGCCGAUGUCAGAUUAGGUAGUUGGUGGGGUAAAGGCUCACCAAGCCAACGAUCUGUAGCUGGUCUGAGAGGACGACCAGCCACACUGGGACUGAGACACGGCCCAGACUCCUACGGGAGGCAGCAGUGGGGAAUUUUGGACAAUGGGCGAAAGCCUGAUCCAGCAAUGCCGCGUGCAGGAAGAAGGCCUUCGGGUUGUAAACUGCUUUUGUACGGAACGAAACGGCUCUGGUUAAUACCCGGGGCUAAUGACGGUACCGUAAGAAUAAGCACCGGCUAACUACGUG